GAUGAAGAACGUAGCGAAAUGCGAUACGUAAUGUGAAUUGCAGAAUUCAGUGAAUCAUCGAAUCUUUGAACGCAUAUUGCGCUCUCUGGUAUUCCGGAGAGCAUGCUUGUUUGAGUAUCAGUAAACACCUCAACUCCCCUUUCUUUUUUUGAAAUGGGAGCUGGACUUGAGUGAUCCCAACGCUUUUCUCACCGAAAAGUGGCGGGUUACUUGAAAUGCAGGUGCAGCUGGACUUUUCUCUGAGCUAAAAGAAUAUCUAUUUAGUCUGCCUAAAAAACAGAUUAUUACCUUUGCUGCAGCUAACAUAAAGGAGAUUAGUUCUUGUGCUGACUGAUGCAGGAUUCACAGAGACAGCUUCGGCUGGCCUUUGUAAACUCGAUCUCAAAUCAAGUAAGACUACCCGCUGAACUUAAGCAUAUCAAUAAGCGGAGGA
rnacentral:misc_RNA from 1 species